rnacentral:rRNA from 1 species
ACUCAAAGGAAUUGACGGGGGCCCGCACAAGCGGUGGAGCAUGUGGUUUAAUUCGAUGCAACGCGAAGAACCUUACCUACCUUUGAAUCCACGGAAUCUUGCAGAGAUGUGAGAGUGCCUUCGGGAACCGUGAGACAGGUGCUGCAUGGCUGUCGUCAGCUCGUGUCGUGAGAUGUUGGGUUAAGUCCCGUAACGAGCGCAACCCUUGUCCUUAGUUACCAACGAGUAAAGUCGGGGACUUUAAGGAGACUGCCGGUGAUAAACCGGAGGAAGGUGGGGAUGACGUCAAGUCCUCAUGGCCCGUACAGGUAGGGCUACACACGUGCUACAAUGGCCGGUACAAAGGGCAGCGAACACGCGAGUGGGAGCCAACCUCAAAAAGCCGGUCGUAGUCCGGAUUGGAGUCUGCAACUCGACUCCAUGAAGCUGGAAUCGCUAGUAAUCGCGGAUCAGAACGCCGCGGUGAAUACGUUCCCGGGCCUUGUACACACCGCCCGU